rnacentral:rRNA from 1 species
GACGAACGCUGGCGGCGUGCUUAACACAUGCAAGUCGAACGGAAAGACCCUGCUUUUGUGGGGUGCUCGAGUGGCGAACGGGUGAGUAACACGUGAGUAACCUGCCCUUGACUUUGGGAUAACUUCAGGAAACUGGGGCUAAUACCGGAUAGGAGCUCCUGCUGCAUGGUGGGGGUUGGAAAGUUUCGGCGGUUGGGGAUGGACUCGCGGCUUAUCAGCUUGUUGGUGGGGUAGUGGCUUACCAAGGCUUUGACGGGUAGCCGGCCUGAGAGGGUGACCGGCCACAUUGGGACUGAGAUACGGCCCAGACUCCUACGGGAGGCAGCAGUGGGGAAUAUUGCACAAUGGGCGGAAGCCUGAUGCAGCAACGCCGCGUGCGGGAUGACGGCCUUCGGGUUGUAAACCGCUUUCGCCUGUGACGAAGCGUGAGUGACGGUAAUGGGUAAAGAAGCACGGCUAACUACGUG